rnacentral:rRNA from 1 species
GGGAGUAUUGCACAAUGGGGGAAACCCUGAUGCAGCAACGCCGCGUGGGUGAAGAAGGCUCUUGGGUCGUAAAGCCCUUUCGGCAGGGAAGAAGGGAGUGUUGGCUAACAUCCAACAUUUUUGACGGUACCUGAAGAAGAAGCACCGGCUAAUUUCGUGCCAGCAGCCGCGGUAAUACGAAAGGUGCAAGCGUUGUUCGGAAUUAUUGGGCGUAAAGCGCACGCAGGCGGAAUCGUAAGUCGAUUGUGAAAUCCCUGGGCUCAACCUAGGAAUUGCAGUCGAAACUGCGAAUCUUGAAUAUCUGAGAGGGUGGGAGAAUUCCUGGUGGAGAAGUGAAAAUUCGUAGAGAUC